GCAGUGCAGUAAAGCAUGGCAACUUGAUUCUUGUAUUUAGGAUGAUUAAGGAUUAAAACAAGAGUUUUAAGUACUGGAACUACAGAGGUACCUAGAAGAAUUACAAGUAGCAUUCAAGCUGACAUUCAUCUCACCUGCCUCUUCACCGCAAAGGUCAUAGAAAGCGGGCAGCGAUUAGCCAGACUAGUGCUGUGGAAACAAACUUGUUCAGGUUUGAAAGCACCUGCAGUCCAGUAUCAGAGGUAUAAUUCUCACACCGCUUGGUGAGAUGCUGUGAAGCCUCUGGAAGCAGCCUUGAUGCCUCACAGCACCGCACGACGAAAAAUGGUGCGCUGCUCGCAACUAAUGUGGAACAGCUGAGCGCACACACUGAUGGAUGGGAGCAUCCGAGUCUGCAGUCUCCACCUCCUCAUGCAGGAUGGUGACAGAGGAUGGCAGCUCUAGUCUUUCCAACACUGAGAUUUAGAGCAGGAGAGAGGCUCACUGUUUCUAUGGCGACCAUUCCUGCCAUCGCAGAGGAAGGAAAGGAUACCUGAGGAUGGGAAGCGAAGACAGCUGAGGAGCAAACAAACAGAUGAAGAUGGAUGGAUGAAUACAUUGAUUCCUCGACUUUGGACUGUGAUAGUGUGCACAGUAAUGCAACUGUUGCCUAAUAUGUCAAUCAGAUCUUAACAGGAUAGCUGGAUAUUUUAGGAAAUGAACACAUUUGCUUUCUUUCAAGAGUUAAAUAACAAGACAGUCUCCAUAUCAGUUCAAUAAAUAUAAGUGACAGUAGGAAGCUAACUUGACUUAGCAUAAA